UGAGCCAAGGAUUCUCCUAGGCUGUAAGGCUAGAGGUAGCAGCAUCAUGAGAGGGAACUCACACAGAGAGAAAGAAGACUGCACUGAAAUGCUGUGGGAGUAUCACGUAGCUGGCAGCACCUUUAUCGGGGUCUGGGAAGAGACCUCUGAACUGUGGGAAAAGCAGCAGUCCAUAAAAUAUGUGAUAGACACAGGAAAUCAGGGCUGGAGAUGAGAAGAGGCUGAUCUCUCAGCCAGCAAAACACAACGGUCCAUGUCUAAUCCUAGCAUCCUUUAAACAACUGGGGAGGAUUCUAAGUGUCAAGCAUGCAGGAAAUCACAAC